rnacentral:rRNA from 1 species
GAGUUUGAUCCUGGCUCAGAUUGAACGCUGGCGGCAUGCCUUACACAUGCAAGUCGAACGCGAAAGGGGGCAACCCUGAGUAGAGUGGCGGACGGGUGAGUACUACAUCGGAACGUGCCCAGUAGUGGGGGACAACCGUCGAGAAACUCGAGGCUAAUACCGCAUACGACCUACGGGUGAAAGCGGGGGACCGCAAGGCCUCGCGCUAUUGGAGCGGCCGAUGUCCGAUUAGCUAGCUGGUGGGGUAAAAGCCCACCAAGGCGACGAUCGGUAGCUGGUCUGAGAGGACGACCAGCCACACUGGGACUGAGACACGGGCCCAGACUCCUACGGGAGGCAGCAGUGGGGAAUUUUUGGACAAUGGGGGCAACCCUGAUCCAGCCAUGCCGCGUGCGGGAAGAAGGCC